AGUGGAAUUGCUGGGUUAUAUGGUAAGUUUAUGCUUAACUUUUUAAGAAACUGCCUAAGUGUUUUCUAAAGUGGCUGAACUGUUCUACAUUCCCACCAGUUAU
rnacentral:pre_miRNA from 1 species